GAUGAACGCUGGCGGCGUGCCUAAUACAUGCAAGUCGAGCGAACGGACGAGAAGCUUGCUUCUCUGAUGUUAGCGGCGGACGGGUGAGUAACACGUGGAUAACCUACCUAUAAGACUGGGAUAACUUCGGGAAACCGGAGCUAAUACCGGAUAAUAUUUUGAACCGCAUGGUUCAAAAGUGGAAGACGGUCUUGCUGUCACUUAUAGAUGGAUCCGCGCUGCAUUAGCUAGUUGGUAAGGUAACGGCUUACCAAGGCAACGAUGCAUAGCCGACCUGAGAGGGUGAUCGGCCACACUGGAACUGAGACACGGUACAGACUCCUACGGGAGGCAGCAGUAGGGAAUCUUCCGCAAUGGGCGAAGGCCUGACGGAGCAACGCCGCGUGAGUGAUGAAGGUCUUCGGAUCGUAAAACUCUGUUAUUAGGGAAGAACAUAUGUGUAAGUAACUGUGCACAUCUUGACGGUACCUAAUCAGAAAGCCACGGCUAACUACGUG
rnacentral:rRNA from 1 species